rnacentral:rRNA from 1 species
AUACGUAGGGGGCGAGCGUUGUCCGGAAUGAUUGGGCGUAAAGGGCGCGUAGGCGGCCAUGUAAGUCUGAAGUGAAAGUCCUGUUUUUAAGAUGGGAAUUGCUUUGGAUACUGUGUGGCUUGAGUGCAGGAGAGGUAAGUGGAAUUCCCAGUGUAGCGGUGAAAUGCGUAGAGAUUGGGAGGAACACCAGUGGCGAAGGCGACUUACUGGACUGUAACUGACGCUGAGGCGCGAAAGUGUGGGGAGCAAACAGGAUUAGAUACCCUGGUAGUCCACACUGUAAACGAUGAAUGCUAGGUGUAGGGGGACUGACACCUUCCGUGCCGCAGUUAACACAAUAAGUAUUCCACCUGGGGAGUACGAUCGCAAGAUUGAAACUCAAAGGAAUUGACGGGG